ACUGCUCAGUAACACGUAGUCAACCUAACUCGUGGACGUGGAUAACCUCGGGAAACUGAGAAUAAACCACGAUAGAUCAUAGUGCCUGGAAUGGCUUAUGGUCCAAACAGUUUACUGCCAUGGGAUGGGACUGCGGCCUAUCAGCUUGUUGGUGAGGUAAUGGCCCACCAAGGCGAUUACAGGUACGGGCUCUGAGAGGAGAAGCCCGGAGAUGGGUACUGAGACACGGACCCAGGCCCUAUGGGGCGCAGCAGGCGAGAAACCUUAGCAAUGUGCGAAAGCACGACUGGGUCAGUCCGAGUGAUUCCUGAUAAAGGAGUCUUUUGCUUGUCCUAAAAACACAGGUGAAUAAGGGGUGGGCAAGUCUGGUGUCAGCCGCCGCGGUAAUACCAGCACCUCGAGUGGUCAGGACGUUUAUUGGGCCUAAAGCAUCCGUAGCCGGCUUUGCAAGUCUUCGGUUAAAUCCACCUGCUCAACAGAUGGGCCGCUGGAGAUACUACAGAGCUAGGGAGUGGGAGAGGCAGACGGUAUUCAGUGGGUAGGGGUAAAAUCCUCUGAUCCAUUGAGGACCACCAGUGGCGAAGGCGGUCUGCCAGAACACGUUCGACGGUGAGGGAUGAAAGCUGGGGGAGCAAACCGGAUUAGAUACCCGGGUAGUCCCAGCUGUAAACGAUGCAAACUCGGUGAUGCAUUGGCUUAUGGCCAAUGCAGUGCCGCAGGGAAGCCGUUAAGUUUGCCGCCUGGGAAGUACGGACGCAAGUCUGAAACUUAAAGGAAUUGGCGGGGGAGCAC
rnacentral:rRNA from 1 species